ensembl:rRNA 5S_rRNA 5S ribosomal RNA
GUCUACGGCCAUACCACCCUGAACACGCCCGAUCUUGUCUGAUCUCGGAAGCUAAGCAGGGUCGGGCCUGGUUAGUACUUGGAUGGGAGACCGCCUGGGAAUACCAGAUGCUGUAGGCU